rnacentral:misc_RNA from 1 species
GAUGAAGAACGCAGCGAAAUGCGAUAAGUAAUGCGAAUUGCAGAAUCCGUGAGUCAUCGAGUCUUUGAACGCACAUUGCGCCCCCUGGUAUUCCGGGGGGCAUGCCUGUCCGAGCGUCAUUGCUGCCCUCAAGCACGGCUUGUGUGUUGGGCCUCCGUCCUCCUCCCGGGGGACGGGCCCGAAAGGCAGCGGCGGCACCGCGUCCGGUCCUCGAGCGUAUGGGGCUUCGUCACCCGCUCUUGUAGGCCCGGUCGGCGCUUGCCGACACAUCAAUCUUUUUUCCAGGUUGACCUCGGAUCAGGUAGGGAUACCCGCUGAACUUAAGCAUAUCAAUAAGCGGAGGA